rnacentral:lncRNA from 1 species
GGCCAUACCAAAGAAAAUUGCGUUUUGGACUUGGGGUGUCAGAGGUGUCCAAUAGAUGGCAUAGGCGUCGUCGUUUUCAUGUGAUGGCGGAUUGUUGUGUUGAGUGGUUGUCAAAAGUUUUCCUAUUUUACCAUGAAAAUUACCGAUGAAUCAUAAGUAAAUUCAAGUUCGUUUCUGUGCAACUUGUUUGUGAUGUGAUUUAUUCCGUAUGUGUGCUGGAUCAAAUUAAAAAUUCCUCAAUCUAACCUGUAGGAAGUCAAGGAACGGGAAAGGAAACAGUAGCAAAUCAUGCAGUUAAUACAGGUCACUACCCCAGUGUGGACAUGUUUGUUUUUCUGAACAUGGUUUUCAACAAAUAAUUUGACGACAUAACGACAUACAAGGAAAGCUACGAAAAAUAUCAUAUCAUCUAGGCCAUGGGUUAUCUUCAGGUCUAUUGCAGCAGCUUAAGAGAAGAAUAUGAACAAAUGCAGGGCACAUACCAACAUGUGUUGUAUUUUUCUGAAUGUUAAACACGAGCAAUUCAACAUGACCAACUGUUUGAUGCCAAAGUCAGCCAAAGUAAGUUGAAACUCAACUCACUGUAAGUACUCUAACACAGAUAACUGGUGCUGUUGCCUGUCAGCCACAGGCAGGAAAAUUAUUCUUUACUUCAGAAAAUUGCAAGUUUUUUGUCUUGACUUAACACUUUCUGUUAAUAUUAUCAAUUUUUAUGUUGAAAGAGUUACAAAGUCUGAAAAGCUAACUAAAAACUUUGUGUUUUUGUGUCAUAGGGAAAGCUGCUGGAGUAAUCUGGUGGUUAUGCUCAUUUGAUUCAUUUUUUCAUUUCGUGCCAGCUAGUGAAAGCGGAAAGGCAUGUCGAACUCAAUUGAGCUGCUGCGACUUUGCGACUCGAAGCAAGCAAUUCAGCCGUUGCGUUCAGUCAUUUGUUGGAACAGGAAUCUAAUGGCUGUCAAUAGGUGGCUGUCAAUAGGUGACUAAAAUUUUGUCCACCAGGUAGCGCGAAUGUCUUCAGGGACGCUUAGCGGCCAUUUUGUUCCAAGACACAGCAGAAAUGGGUUGUUGUUUGUGACGUUUCUCACGAUGAAAAUUAAAAGGUGAUUUAGCACGUAGAAACCAAUUUGCCAAAUCAUUCAACUCAGACUUGGAAGUGUCUGUACAUUU